GAGACACUAGUAAAAUACUAUUACACCGCUUUGUCAAGGCGGAGUUGCAAGUUAAACUCUUGCGUGUUUUA
rnacentral:tRNA from 1 species